UACGGAGGAUCCAAGCGUUAUCCGGAUUUAUUGGGUUUAAAGGGUGCGUAGGCGGCCUAUCAAGUCAGAGGUGAAAGACGGUAGCUCAACUAUCGCAGUGCCCUUGAUACUGAUGGGCUUGAAUGAACUAGAGGUAGGCGGAAUGUGACAAGUAGCGGUGAAAUGCAUAGAUAUGUCACAGAACACCAAUUGCGAAGGCAGCUUACUAUGGUUUUAUUGACACUGAGGCACGAAAGCGUGGGGAUCAAACAGG
rnacentral:rRNA from 1 species